rnacentral:rRNA from 1 species
CGAGAGGCGCCGGGCACUCUGGGGGGACUGCCCCCGAAAGGGGGAGGAAGGAGCGGGCUACGGCAGGUCAGUAUGCCCCGAAUCCCCCGGGCCGCACGCGACGUUCAAUGGUGGGGACAGUGGGAUGCAACCCCGAAAGGGGAAGCCAAUCCCUAAACCCCACCUCAGUAGGGAUCGAGGGUUGCAACUCGCCCUCGUGAACGCGGAAUCCCUAGUAACCGCCCGUUACCACCGGGCGGUGAAUACGUCCCCGCUCCUUGCACACACUGCCCGUCGCUGCAUCCGAGCUGGAACUGGGCGAGGGCCUGUCUCGUUGGCGGGUUCGAGCCCGGCUCUGGUGAGGAGGCAGAAGUCGUAACAAGGUGGCCGCACGGGAACGUGUGGCCGGAUCACCUCCC